UCCACCUUACCCCUUCUUUAAAAGCUUCAGAAGAGAGAGAAAGGGAAAAAUGAGAGAGAAGAAAGGGGUGGUGACCGGAGAAUUACCGCCGUCACACCACCAUGACGGUCACCAUCUCUGGUGUUUCUGUUUUCUUUGGGGUUUUUUCCUCUGUAGAGAGAGAAGAAAGGGGUGGUGACCGGAGAAUCACCGCCGUCACACCACCAUGACGGUCACCAUCUCCGGUGUUUCUGUUUUCUUUGGGGUUUUUUCCUCUGUUGAGAGAGAAGAAAGGGGUGGUGACCGGAGAAAGACGAGAGGGGGCCGGUGACCGGAGUGUCACCACCGUCUCACCACACGCCGGUUGCCAUCUGGUGUCUCUGUUUUGUGUGGGUUUUUACCUAUAUACGACUGCUGGGCUCUUUUUAUAUAACACCACCUCUUUUCCUCUCUCUACAAAUCUCCAUUUCUCUCUCUAGACGGACUGGAAAUGAACAGAGUUUGUGUUUGUGGUUUGACCCGAUUGACCUAUUUGGGCGGUCAUCCCCCUUGAUAUGCGUGUCCUCCAGCUUUACAUUGUACGCCUCUUUAAGAAGAGAGAGGGGCGGUGAUCGGAGGGUCACCACCGGCUGUGUCCAGCCAUUUUGGCGGCAACCAGUUUCAACAUAAAACCCUAGCCGACGUUUUAGGCGACGACGGCUAGAGGUCUUGCGAGGUUUCAGCCUUUCGCCUACCCAACGAUGAUGGUGGCUUGCUACUUGGUAUGGCAACUCCGGUUGCAACCGUAGUGCCACUGUGCGGAUGAUCUUUUUUUAUCUGAGUCAAUUAGCGUUGAUGAUUUCGUUUUUUUGUAUUAUUGUUGAAAUGAUUAUGUUGGUGGUGGUUAGGUUGUGAGUACUUAGAUGGUGAACUUUGCUGCUGGUGUUAGUAAGGAGUCAUUUUUUUAUAUUGAAUGAGUUGUUUCGGUUCCAUUCUGAGGCUAUUAAGCCAACAGGUAGUUAUAGGAUGUGUUAUAGCCCGUAUCUGCAACACAAAUGACUGUCUAGCUGGUGUCGUGAGUCAGGUAAGUGCUACGAAAAUGGGUCGGUCAGUUGGGUUGGUGAUGGGUCAAAAUGGGUAUCUUUAGUAUAGAUCUACUAGGCAUUUCCAAUUCCAUCAACUGUAGUAACAUGUUUGAUGCAUUUAGUAUGUCAAUAAAUUGUUAGUAUAUAUUGACAUGGAUAUAUACACUUGGACCGAGAGUAAUCCAUAACUGAUCGCAACCCCCCAUAUGAUGAAGUUGCAUUCUUUUGAUACAAAGGUAACAUCAAUUUGGACUUUGAACAUACAUUAAAUCAAUAAAAUAUAAGGAAAUUCCAGUAAAAGGGUUUUAAUAAGUGACAUAAAAAGGGAGGUGAUUUGUAAGCUGGUCCUAUUUUGUCAUUUACGGACAAUUUGAUGAACACGCAUUAGGAGACCAUGUAGUGCUAGCAAAAAAAAUUGUUCAUUAAAUAUUUAGUUGCUUCGUCUUGAUUCAUGAAGUUGCUGAAACUUUUGAUGAGUGGUUUCAGAUUUCUGGUGGCUUCCACGUGUGAUAGAAAGCGAGUCUGGGAGACAGGAUCGUGAUAGAGUGGUGGCUGACCACCGCCACCUUUGGCGUCACCACCCGAUUCCAGCGCGUCAGCGACCCAACUAAGGUACAAUGGCUGAGUGUUUGAGAGAGAGAGAGAGAGAGAGAGAGAGAGAAAGAGAGGCGGUGUAGACGAUGGCCUCGACGACGGUUAGCAUUCCAACCAAAUCAGACCAGAUUCCGGUAAGUGUUCCGGUGAAGGUACGGCUAGCGUUCUAGGGAGCAGUGCCGGCAAGGAGAAUCAGUUGAUGAUCCGGUGAGCAGAUUAAAGCCUGUACAGGAGUUCUUCAAGUGAAUCGGCAACUCUCCAGACCGACUCUACAUAUAUGAAAUAGUGACGAGGAGUAUGGCACCAUUGGAAUUGGGGGCUGGUUAGGUGAAUUUCAUUCCUGGGUUUGGUGUGUUUUAAGGAUUUGUGUUUUGUUAAUCACAAAUGUAUCUUCAUUGUUGCAAGAAUGGACCCCUAAUAUGCUGAAUUUUGAGCAACUGCAGCUCAUGUUGACCAAAAAGUUUCAUUGUUAGAUGAAACCAUGUUUUAUAUUUGUUAGGCUUCUUUAUUCCUUCAGUUUUAACUUGAAUGUUAAGUUGAAUGUUUUAUAUUUA